rnacentral:rRNA from 1 species
GGCGGAGGCCUAACACAUGCAAGUCGAACGCUGUAGCAAUACAGAGUGGCAGACGGGUGAGUAACGCGUGGGAACCUUCCCAAUGGUGCGGAAUAGCCCAGGGAAACUUGGGGUAAUACCGCAUAAGCCCUUAGGGGGAAAGAUUUAUCGCCAUUGGAUGGGCCCGCGUCGGAUUAGCUAGUUGGUGAGGUAAUGGCUCACCAAGGCAACGAUCCGUAGCUGGUUUGAGAGAAUGACCAGCCACACUGGGACUGAGACACGGCCCAGACUCCUACGGGAGGCAGCAGUGGGGAAUCUUGGACAAUGGGCGCAAGCCUGAUCCAGCCAUGCCGCGU